GAUACAAGUGUCAAAAACAUGAAAAUCCGUUGCAAGCUUGCUUGCAAAAGGAUUUGACAUCUUUUGACACGCAAACAAUAUGAGUAAGUAGCCGUUUUUGUAAAAAAACGAGCGGAUUACGAAUAUUGUUGCAAGGAUUGCGAGAAGCGUUAGCUGAAGUAAUCCUGU
rnacentral:sRNA from 1 species